rnacentral:rRNA from 1 species
UCAGAUUGAACGCUGGCGGCAGGCCUAACACAUGCAAGUCGAGCGGAAACGACACUAACAAUCCUUCGGGUGCGUUAAUGGGCGUCGAGCGGCGGACGGGUGAGUAAUGCCUAGGAAAUUGCCUUGAUGUGGGGGAUAACCAUUGGAAACGAUGGCUAAUACCGCAUAAUGCCUACGGGCCAAAGAGGGGGACCUUCGGGCCUCUCGCGUCAAGAUAUGCCUAGGUGGGAUUAGCUAGUUGGUGAGGUAAUGGCUCACCAAGGCGACGAUCCCUAGCUGGUCUGAGAGGAUGAUCAGCCACACUGGAACUGAGACACGGUCCAGACUCCUACGGGAGGCAGCAGUGGGGAAUAUUGCACAAUGGGCGAAAGCCUGAUGCAGCCAUGCCGCGUGUAUGAAGAAGGCCUUCGGGUUGUAAAGUACUUUCAGUUGUGAGGAAGGGGGUAGCGUUAAUAGCGCUAUCUCUUGACGUUAGCAACAGAAGAAGCACUGGCUAACUCCGUGCCAGCAGCCGCGGUAAUACGGAGGGUGCGAGCGUUAAUCGGAAUUACUGGGCGUAAAGCGCAUGCAGGUGGUUCAUUAAGUCAGAUGUGAAAGCCCGGGGCUCAACCUCGGAACUGCAUUUGAAACUGGUGAACUAGAGUACUGUAG